GUUAUAAAUAAAAAUUUGAUUGUUUUAUAAGUUAAAUAUUAUGCCGGGUCCAGACCAAGUAGAUAAAACAAUGAAGCUUAACUGCAACAAUAUUUUUCUGUCCCAGCCACUGAAGUUGGUAUAUAUUCUAUAAAGAAGCCACUGGGUUAGUUAACAUACAGUAUAUAACUGCACACAUAAUUUUUGGCGCAUUUGCAAUAUACCUUUAUUUGAAAAAUCAUGUUAAUGGAGCCACACUAUUAUGCCAAUUUCUGUUAUUGGCCACAAUUUCAAGUUUUUCUACUAUAUGUGCUCAACAUUGCGAAGAUGAGUGGGAAGUGUACUAUACUAAGCUAUGCUCUUUUCAGUGGUACAAUUGGAAUGUAGAGAAUCAGCAAACUUUACUGAUAAUGAUCAGGGAAUCAGCAAAACCUACGAAACUUUUUGUGUUGAAUAGGAUAGCUAUCAACUAUG